AAAGUCGUAACAAGGUUUCCGUAGGUGAACCUGCGGAAGGAUCAUUAAUAAAUGUUGCUUCGGUAACUUUAUAAUCCUUUAACACCUGUGCAUCUUGUCGCUCCGGCGAUAUCAUACAAACAUCAGUGUAAAGAAUGUAAUUUAUCAUAACAAAUACAACUUUCAACAACGGAUCUCUUGGCUCUC
rnacentral:misc_RNA from 1 species